UACGUAGGGGGCAAGCGUUGUCCGGAUUUAUUGGGCGUAAAGCGCACGUAGGCGGCUUCUCAAGUCAGGGGUGAAUCCUGGAGCUCAACUCCAGAACUGCCUUUGAUACUGAGGAUCUUGAGUUCGGGAGAGGUGAGUGGAACUGCGAGUGUAGAGGUGAAAUUCGUAGAUAUUCGGAAGAACACCAGUGGCGAAGGCGGCUCACUGGACUGGUAUUGACGCUGAGGUGCGAAAGCGUGGGGAGCAACAGG
rnacentral:rRNA from 1 species